rnacentral:rRNA from 1 species
ACUCAAAGGAAUAGACGGGGGCCCGCACAAGCGGCGGAGCAUGCGGAUUAAUUCGAUGCAACGCGAAGAACCUUACCAAGGCUUGACAUAUACCGGAAAAGUUCAGAAAUGUUCUCCUCGCAAGACCGGUAUACAGGUGGUGCAUGGUUGUCGUCAGCUCGUGUCGUGAGAUGUUGGGUUAAGUCCCGCAACGAGCGCAACCCUCGUUCUAUGUUGCCAGCACGUAAUGGUGGGAACUCAUAGGAGACUGCCGGGGUCAACUCGGAGGAAGGUGGGGAUGACGUCAAAUCAUCAUGCCCCUUAUGUCUUGGGCUUCACGCAUGCUACAAUGGCCGAUACAAAGGGCUGCAAUACCGCAAGGUGGAGCGAAUCCCAAAAAGUCGGUCUCAGUUCGGAUUGAGGUCUGCAACUCGACCUCAUGAAGUCGGAGUCGCUAGUAAUCGCAGAUCAGCAACGCUGCGGUGAAUACGUUCCCGGGCCUUGCACACACCGCCCGU